CAAGUUUAAUAAUUUGCAUAAUUUUACAAAAAUUAAUAAGUAGAUAAAAGUCAGUGCUCUCUCUAUAUAUAUAUAUAUCUUUUACGCAAUAAACAAUCAAGCUAGCUGGACACAAGCUCUCACUGGACCGAUUUUUCUUAACAAUACGUCAAUACGAUCACAAAUCAUAUUUAGUUGAAGCCAUUUUUCUUAAAAAUUGAAAAAAUUCCCUCGUUUCCCGUAAAUGGAGAAAA